GCAGUGCUAGCUCCAUGGCUUAGCGGAGGAGGCGGCGGUGGCGAGCUGGGGGGAGGGGGGACUCUUAUUUUGUUAGGGGGACCGGGCCGAGGCCCGACCGGCCUGGCAGGGCUCGCCCGGGGCCGGGCGUCAUGUCUCAUGCGGCCGAACCAGCUCGGGAUGGCGUAGAGGCCAGCGCGGAGGGCCCUCGAGCCGUGUUCGUGCUGUUGGAGGAGCGCAGGCCGGCCGACUCGGCUCAGCUGCUCAGCCUGAACUCUUUGCUUCCGGAAUCCGGGAUUGUUGCUGACAUAGAAUUAGAAAACGUCCUUGAUCCUGACAGCUUCUACGAGCUCAAAAGCCAACCCUUACCCCUUCGCUCAAGCCUCCCAAUAUCACUGCAGGCCACACCAGCCACCCCAGCUACACUCUCUGCAUCGUCUUCUGCAGGGGGCUCCAGGACCCCUGCCAUGUCGUCAUCUUCUUCAUCGAGGGUCUUGCUGCGGCAGCAGCUAAUGCGGGCCCAGGCGCAGGAGCAGGAGAGGCGUGAGCGUCGGGAACAGGCCGCCGCGGCUCCCUUCCCCAGUCCUGCACCUGCCUCUCCUGCCAUCUCUGUGGUUGGCGUCUCUGCUGGGGGCCACACAUUGAGCCGUCCACCCCCUGCUCAGGUGCCCAGGGAGGUGCUCAAGGUGCAGACCCAUCUGGAGAACCCAACGCGCUACCACCUGCAGCAGGCGCGCCGGCAGCAGGUGAAACAGUACCUGUCCACCACACUCGGGCCCAAGCUGGCUUCCCAGGCCCUCACCCCACCGCCGGGGCCCGCAAGUGCCCAGCCACUGCCUGCCCCUGAGGCUGCCCACACUACCGGCCCCACAGGCAGUGCGCCCAACAGCCCCAUGGCGCUGCUCACCAUCGGGUCCAGCUCAGAGAAGGAGAUUGAUGAUGUCAUUGAUGAGAUCAUCAGCCUGGAGUCCAGUUACAAUGAUGAAAUGCUCAGCUAUCUGCCCGGAGGCACCACAGGACUGCAGCUCCCCAGCACGGCUGGAGCGCAAUGGUGCUAUCUCGGCUCACUGGAACCUCCGCCUACCAAGUUCAAGCGAUUCUCUUGCCUCAGCCUCCUGAGUAACUGGGACUACAGGCGCGUGCCCCCAUGCCCGGCUAAUUUUUGUAUUUUUAGUAGAGACGGGGUUUCACCGUGUUACCCAGGUUAUCUCAAUCUCCUGACUUUGUGAUCUGCCUGCCUCGGCCUCCCAAAGUGCUGGGAUUACAGGCAUGAGCCACCAUGCCUGGCCUAACUUGCUUUAUUUAUUUAUUUAUUUAUUUUUUAUUGAAUUUUUUUUUUUUUUUUGAGAUGGAGUUUCACUCUCCUUGUCCAGGCUGGAAUGCAAUGUGCGAUCUCUGCUCAUUGCACCCUCUGCCUCCUGGGUUCAAGCAAUUCUCCUGCCUCAGCCUCCCAAGUAGCCGAGAUUACAGGUGCCCGCCAGCACGCCUGGCUAAUUUUUGUAUUUUAGUAGAGACGGGGUUUCACUAUGUUGGUCAGGCUGGUCUCGAACUCCUGACCUCAGGUGAUCCACCUGCCUCGGCCUCCCAAAGUUCUCGGAUUACAGGUUUGAGCCACCGCGCCCGGCCUAUUUAUUUAUUUUUGAGACAGGAUCUUGCUCUGUCACCCAGGCUGGAGUGCAGUGGUGUAAUCCUGGCUCACUGCAGCCUCCACCUUCCGGGCUCAAGUGAUCCUCCCACCUCAGCCUCCCAAGUAACUGGGACCAUAGGCUUGUGUCACCAUGCCUGGCUAAUUUUUUGCAUUUUUAGUAGAGACAGGGUCUCACUGUGUUGCCCAGGCUGGUCUCGAACUCCUGAGCUCAAGCCAUCUGCCCACCUCGGCCUCCCAAAGUGCUGGGAUUACAGACAUAGCCACCAUGCCUGGUCUCAUAACUUGCUUUAGAGCAUACCAAGUGGCUGUAGUUUUGCUUUUUUCCAACUUAUCAAUAGGAUGGAAGCAUGUAUAAAAAUGGGACUAAUUUAUCAGAACUUUUUAUUGAUUUGGACACAACUAGAGAAUGGGACCUUAUAUCCACCAGACUGGAAGUGGGUUCAAGAGAUUAAAGCUCAGCCAGGCACGGUGGCUCACACCUGUAAUCCCAGCACUUUGGGAGGCUGAGGCGGGCAGAUCACAAGGUCAGGAGAUCCAGACCAUCCUGGCUAACACAGUGAAACCCCGUCUCUACUAAAAAUACGAAAAAAUUAGCUGGGCGUGGUGGCGGGUGCCUGUAGUCCCAGCUACUCGGGAGGCUGAGGCAGGAGAAUGGCGUGAACCCGGGAGGCAGAGCUUGCAGUGAGCCGAGAUUGCGCCACUGCCCUCCAGCCUGGGUGACAGAACGAUACUCCGUCUCCAAAAAAAAAAAAAAAAAAAAAAAAAGAGAUUAAAACUCAUGAAGAAGUGGGAUUUGGAUAUACUUUAUUUUAUUUGUAUUUAUUUAUUUAUUUAUUUAUUUUGAGAUAGAGUCUUGCUCUGUUGCCCAGGCUGGAGUGCAGUGGUGUGAUCUUGGCUCACUGCAACCUCUACCUCCUGGGUUCAAGCAACUCUCCUGUUUCAGCCUCUCAAGUAGCUGGGACUACAAGUGCAGGCCACCAUGCUCGGCUAAUUUUUUUUGUUGUUUUGUAUUUUUAGUAGAGACAGAGUUUCACCAUGUUGGCCAGGCUGGUCACGAACUCCUGACCUCAAGUGAUCCGCCCGCCUUGGCCUCCCAAAGUGCUGGGAUUACAGGCGUGAGCCACUGCACCUGGCCCUGGGUAUACUUAAGAUUGACGUGCUCCUCUGGAGUAUAUCCAGGAAAGUGUGAAGGAGAGGAAAAAAAAAAAACUAGGCUGACAUAAAGCAGUGCUAAUUGAAUAGUUGGAUAAGAAUCUCCUGAGAGAACAGAAUGUGCAGGAAGAUACUGGAGUCAGGACCUUGGUCCACAGCAGCAGGAGACCCUGAUGUGGAAGAUGGUACAACUUGAUCAGAGUGGAAGAUGGUACAACUUGAUCAGAGUGAAAGACUGGAGAUUAGGUUGGAAUUCUCCAGAAGGCCAGAUUUUGGAUAGAAUGUUGUCAUGACAAUUUACCAAGGUCGGAGAAGAUUGGGUUGGAGUGUUCCAAGAAUGCUGGAUUGGAAUGUUGUGCUGGGAGGAGCUAACGGACUGGAAUGUCCCAUCAGAGCCGACAAAGACCUGAGAAGGGUGGUUUUCCAGCAUUUCUUCUCAGAGCCAGCCCCGGGGUUUGGGAAAGGGGCUUUAGAGGUCACUGAGGGAUAUGAGGGACUGGAGGAAGUGAUAAGCAGGCCAGGCAGGCUCCAGUCUCCCAGCGAAGCAAGCUGCCUGUGUCAGGGAAUCUGCUUGAUGUGUACAGUAGUCAAGGCGUGGCCACACCAGCCAUCACUGUCAGCAACUCCUGCCCAGCUGAGC